GACCGUAUUGCAUUGUAGUUGUAACUGGAUAGGUUCUCCAACCAAUUCUACUUAGCUUGGGUAACCAUGAUAUUCUGCUAGGCGUCACUCAUGGUUUGUGGAAGCCCUAAUGAUUAGCAAACACUAAUCAUCAAAGGGAGAAUUGAAAUGUGGUUUCAAUUCACAAUCGAUCGUUAAGAGUAACAUCGCCCACUGCCUCGC
rnacentral:lncRNA from 1 species